rnacentral:rRNA from 1 species
GGUCGAGUCGGCCUGCGCGGAAGAUGUAACGGGGCUAAACCAUGCACCGAAGCUGCGGCAGCGACGCUGAUGCGUUGUUGGGUAGGGGAGCGUUCUGUAAGCCUGUGAAGGUGGCCUGUGAGGGUUGCUGGAGGUAUCAGAAGUGCGAAUGCUGACAUAAGUAACGAUAAAGCGGGUGAAAAGCCCGCUCGCCGGAAGACCAAGGGUUCCUGUCCAACGUUAAUCGGGGCAGGGUGAGUCGACCCCUAAGGCGAGGCCGAAAGGCGUAGUCGAUGGGAAACGGGUUAAUAUUCCCGUACUUGGUGUUACUGCGAAGGGGGGACGGAGAAGGCUAUGUUGGCCGGGCGACGGUUGUCCCGGUUUAAGCGUGUAGGUGUGUGUUCCAGGUAAAUCCGGUUCACUUUAACACUGAGGCGUGAUGACGAGGCACUACGGUGCUGAAGCAACAAAUGCCCUGCUUCCAGGAAAAGCCUCUAAGCAUCAGGUAACAUCAAAUCGUACCCCAAACCGACACAGGUGGUCAGGUAGAGAAUACCAAGGCGCUUGAGAGAACUCGGGUGAAGGAACUAGGCAAAAUGGUGCCGUAACUUCGGGAGAAGGCACGCUGACAC